GAUGAACGCUGGCGGCGUGCCUAAUACAUGCAAGUCGAGCGAACGGACGAGAAGCUUGCUUCUCUGAUGUUAGCGGCGGACGGGUGAGUAACACGUGGAUAACCUACCUAUAAGACUGGGAUAACUUCGGGAAACCGGAGCUAAUACCGGAUAAUAUUUUGAACCGCAUGGUUCAAAAGUGAAAGACGGUCUUGCUGUCACUUAUAGAUGGAUCCGCGCUGCAUUAGCUAGUUGGUAAGGUAACGGCUUACCAAGGCAACGGUGCAUAGCCGACCUGAGAGGGUGAUCGGCCACACCGGAACUGAGACACGGUCCAGACUCCUACGGGAGGCAGCAGUAGGGAAUCUUCCGCAAUGGGCGAAAGCCUGACGGAGCAACGCCGCGUGAGUGAUGAAGGUCUUCGGAUCGUAAAACUCUGUUAUUAGGGAAGAACAUAUGUGUAAGUAACUGUGCACAUCUUGACGGUACCUAAUCAGAAAGCCACGGCUAACUACGUGCCAGCAGCCGCGGUAAUACGUAGGUGGCAAGCGUUAUCCGGAAUUAUUGGGCGUAAAGCGCGCGUAGGCGGUUUUUUAAGUCUGAUGUGAAAGCCCACGGCUCAACCGUGGAGGGUCAUUGGAAACUGGAAAACUUGAGUGCAGAAGAGGAAAGUGGAAUUCCAUGUGUAGCGGUGAAAUGCGCAGAGAUAUGGAGGAACACCAGUGGCGAAGGCGACUUUCUGGUCUGUAACUGACGCUGAUGUGCGAAAGCGUGGGGAUCAAACAGGAUUAGAUACCCUGGUAGUCCACGCCGUAAACGAUGAGUGCUAAGUGUUAGGGGGUUUCCGCCCCUUAGUGCUGCAGCUAACGCAUUAAGCACUCCGCCUGGGGAGUACGACCGCAAGGUUGAAACUCAAAGGAAUUGACGGGGACCCGCACAAGCGGUGGAGCAUGUGGUUUAAUUCGAAGCAACGCGAAGAACCUUACCAAAUCUUGACAUCCUUUGACAACUCUAGAGAUAGAGCUUUCCCCUUCGGGGGACAAAGUGACAGGUGGUGCAUGGUUGUCGUCAGCUCGUGUCGUGAGAUGUUGGGUUAAGUCCCGCAACGAGCGCAACCCUUAAGCUUAGUUGCCAUCAUUAAGUUGGGCACUCUAAGUUGACUGCCGGUGACAAACCGGAGGAAGGUGGGGAUGACGUCAAAUCAUCAUGCCCCUUAUGAUUUGGGCUACACACGUGCUACAAUGGACAAUACAAAGGGCAGCGAAACCGCGAGGUCAAGCAAAUCCCAUAAAGUUGUUCUCAGUUCGGAUUGUAGUCUGCAACUCGACUACAUGAAGCUGGAAUCGCUAGUAAUCGUAGAUCAGCAUGCUACGGUGAAUACGUUCCCGGGUCU
rnacentral:rRNA from 1 species